UGGGGCAUUUUGCCUUCAAAUCUGUCUACUGUAUUAACAAAAAUAGUGAAAUUUAGAUCGUUUUCGGCUGGCUCGAUUGGAAAAGAUGGUGGUGAUUCGGGGAUGAACGGGUUGAUGUAUGAGCUCUUGUGGAGGGACUUCUUCAGAUUCAUAACCUGGAAAUACAGUUCGUCGAAACAACAUAAUAGCACUUCAGUACCUGCUUGAAAGUUUGGGAGUGUCGCCGAUUAUUAGUCUUAUAUUCUUCAUUGGGUCAUUAAUCUCCAAAAACUUUGGGUUCCAUUUGAUUGAAACAAUGAAGAACCAAAUUUAUGUUUUUGCAAUCAUCAAAUAGUUUUUCAUACUUAUAGUUUGAUUAUCAAUAUUUGAUGUAUCAUAUACCGUUAAAUAACAGGAGUUAAUUAU
rnacentral:lncRNA from 1 species